rnacentral:rRNA from 1 species
ACGCUGGCGGCAUGCCUAACACAUGCAAGUCGAACGAACCCUUCGGGGUGAGUGGCGCACGGGUGCGUAACGCGUGGGAACCUGCCCUUAGGUUCGGAAUAACGUUUCGAAAGGAACGCUAAUACCGGAUAAUGUCUUCGGACCAAAGAUUUAUCGCCUUUGGAUGGGCCCGCGUUGGAUUAGCUAGUUGGUGGGUAAAGGCUCACCAAGGCGACGAUCCAUAGCUGGUCUUAGAGGAUGAUCAGCCACACUGGGACUGAGACACGGCCCAGACUCCUACGGGAGGCAGCAGUGGGGAAUAUUGGACAAUGGGCGAAAGCCUGAUCCAGCAAUGCCGCGUGAGUGAUGAAGGCCUUAGGGUUGUAAAGCUCUUUUACCAGGGAUGAUAAUGACAGUACCUGGAGAAUAAGCUCCGGCUAACUCCGUG